AACGAACGCUGGCGGCAUGCCUAACACAUGCAAGUCGAACGAGACCUUCGGGUCUAGUGGCGCACGGGUGCGUAACGCGUGGGAAUCUGCCCUCUGGUACGGAAUAACUCAGGGAAACUUGAGCUAAUACCGUAUAAUGACUUCGGUCCAAAGAUUUAUCGCCUGAGGAUGAGCCCGCGUAGGAUUAGCUAGUUGGUGAGGUAAAAGCUCACCAAGGCGACGAUCCUUAGCUGGUCUGAGAGGAUGAUCAGCCACACUGGGACUGAGACACGGCCCAGACUCCUACGGGAGGCAGCAGUGGGGAAUAUUGGACAAUGGGCGAAAGCCUGAUCCAGCAAUGCCGCGUGAGUGAUGAAGGCCUUAGGGUUGUAAAGCUCUUUUACCCGGGAUGAUAAUGACAGUACCGGGAGAAUAAGCCCCGGCUAACUCCGUG
rnacentral:rRNA from 1 species